CAGCCGCCGCGGGAAUACGUAGGGUGCGAGCGUUAAUCGGAAUUACUGGGCGUAAAGCGUGCGCAGGCGGUUGUGUAAGACAGGUCUGAAAUCCCCGGGCCUAACCUGGGAACCGCGCUUGUGACUGCACAGCUAGAGUAUGGCAGAGGGGGGUGGAAUUCCACGUGUAGCAGUGAAAUGCGUAGAGAUGUGGAGGAACACCGAUGGCGAAGGCAGCCCCCUGGGCCAAUACUGACGCUCAUGCACGAAAGCGUGGGGAGCAAACAGGAUUAGAUACCCCUGUAGUCCCUGUCUCUUAUAA
rnacentral:rRNA from 1 species